GUCAUGACUCUCCUGUGACGAUCUGAAGGAUCAGGUUAGAGUGGGUCUGCUCUACAGCCUGCUCUCUCUCGUAGAGGGGAAUGUCAUGACUCUCCUGUGACGAUCUGAAGGAUCAGGUUAGAGUGGGUCUGCUCUACAGCCUGCUCUCUCUCGUAGAGGGGAAUGUCAUGACUCUCCUGUGACGAUCUGAAGGAUCAGGUUAGAGUGGGUCUGCUCUACAGCCUGUUCUCUCUCGUAGAGGGGAAUGUCAUGACUCUCCUGUGACGAUCUGAAGGAUCAGGUUAGAGUGGGUCUGCUCUACAGCCUGCUCUCUCUCGUAGAGAGGAAUGUCAUGACUCUCCUGUGACGAUCUGAAGGAUCAGGUUAGAGUGGGUCUGCUCUACAGCCUGCUCUCUCUCGUAGAGGGGAAUGUCAUGACUCUCCUGUGACGAUCUGAAGGAUCAGGUUAGAGUGGGUCUGCUCUACAGCCUGCUCUCUCUCGUAGAGGGGAAUGUCAUGACUCUCCUGUGAUGAUCUGAAGGAUCAGGUUAGAGUGGGUCUGCUCUACAGCCUGCUCUCUCUCGUAGAGGGGAAUGUCAUGACUCUCCUGUGACGAUCUGAAGGAUCAGGUUAGAGUGGGUCUGCUCUACAGCCUGCUCUCUCUCGUAGAGAGGAAUGUCAUGACUCUCCUGUGAUGAUGUGAAGGAUCAGGUUAGAGUGGGUCUGCUCUACAGCCUGCUCUCUCUCGUAGAGGGGAAUGUCAUGACUCUCCUGUGACGAUCUGAAGGAUCAGGUUAGAGUGGGUCUGCUCUACAGCCUGCUCUCUCUCGUAGAGAGGAAUGUCAUGACUCUCCUGUGACGAUCUGAAGGAUCAGGUUAGAGUGGGUCUGCUCUACAGCCUGCUCUCUCUCGUAGAGGGGAAUGUCAUGACUCUCCUGUGACGAUCUGAAGGAUCAGGUUAGAGUGGGUCUGCUCUACAGCCUGUUCUCUCUCGUAGAGGGGGAGAGCGGGAAGUCGGCUGUUUUCUGGUCGGUCAUAAAAUACGCUGCCCCUAUGCUCUGUAGUGUUCGAGUUUGGAAUGUAAACUGUGGAAUACAGAGAGACACUUGGACAUCAAAAGUUUGAUUAAUUAAACAAUAUUUCUACUUUUGAGAAUGUGGCAAUGGUCCGUGGACACUAAGGGACAGUCAUGACGAGCGUGUUUCAUUUGGUGACCUCAUGAAGAACAGGAAACACACAUUACUGAAUCUCUGUUUGUGGACACUUUCAAGGUUUACAUCUACAUUUUGUGAAACGUAUGUGAUUAAACAUGAAACUAUUUGUGAAAAGAUGUAAUGUGAUGUUAACCUUCAAAAUGAGAGAAUUGUCUUCCAUGUAAAGUAUUAACCAGGUCAGUGGCCACGUGAUCAUAGACAUUACGUCAGCGUCAUGGACCACCCUUUUCUCAGACGUGUAUAAAACCCACUCCUGGCGAAAUUUACAUUAGACCAGACAGCGUGCAGCGAUGGCUACACAGCUGGAAAUGGUUCAAAUCUGAGACUAUAGAUGACUACAGAAUAAGAGCAAAUACUAGCUGUUCAUGUGUAAACCAUUAGCAUUUCAAUGAAUAUAAUUAUCGACUGUGCGUAGUGAAUCCAUUUUGUCUUUCCCGCUCUUUUAUCUGUCCCCACCCCUUUCCAUUGUCUACCAAGCCGUCAUACCGGUUUAGCCCACCUAGGGACUUAUC